rnacentral:tRNA from 1 species
UGAGGUGUAGCUUGGUGGCAGAGCACCUGUUUAGAAUGCAGGGAGCCCUGGGUUCUUCCCUAGUACUGCAC